rnacentral:rRNA from 1 species
GAUGAACGCUGGCGGCGUGCCUAAUACAUGCAAGUCGAACGAGUUCUCGUUGAUGAUCGGUGCUUGCACCGAGAUUCAACAUGGAACGAGUGGCGGACGGGUGAGUAACACGUGGGUAACCUGCCCUUAAGUGGGGGAUAACAUUUGGAAACAGAUGCUAAUACCGCAUAGAUCCAAGAACCGCAUGGUUCUUGGCUGAAAGAUGGCGUAAGCUAUCGCUUUUGGAUGGACCCGCGGCGUAUUAGCUAGUUGGUGAGGUAAUGGCUCACCAAGGCGAUGAUACGUAGCCGAACUGAGAGGUUGAUCGGCCACAUUGGGACUGAGACACGGCCCAAACUCCUACGGGAGGCAGCAGUAGGGAAUCUUCCACAAUGGACGCAAGUCUGAUGGAGCAACGCCGCGUGAGUGAAGAAGGCUUUCGGGUCGUAAAACUCUGUUGUUGGAGAAGAAUGGUCGGCAGAGUAACUGUUGUCGGCGUGACGGUAUCCAACCAGAAAGCCACGGCUAACUACGUGCCAGCAGCCGUGGUAAUACGUAGGUGGCAAGCGUUAUCCGGAUUUAUUGGGCGUAAAGCGAGCGCAGGCGGUUUUUUAAGUCUGAUGUGAAAGCCCUCGGCUUAACCGAGGAAGCGCAUCGGAAACUGGGAAACUUGAGUGCAGAAGAGGACAGUGGAACUCCAUGUGUAGCGGUGAAAUGCGUAGAUAUAUGGAAGAACACCAGUGGCGAAGGCGGCUGUCUGGUCUGUAACUGACGCUGAGGCUCGAAAGCAUGGGUAGCGAACAGGAUUAGAUACCCUGGUAGUCCAUGCCGUAAACGAUGAAUGCUAGGUGUUGGAGGGUUUCCGCCCUUCAGUGCCGCAGCUAACGCAUUAAGCAUUCCGCCUGGGGAGUACGACCGCAAGGUUGAAACUCAAAGGAAUUGACGGGGGCCCGCACAAGCGGUGGAGCAUGUGGUUUAAUUCGAAGCAACGCGAAGAACCUUGCCAGGUCUUGACAUCUUUUGAUCACCUGAGAGAUCAGGUUUCCCCUUCGGGGGCAAAAUGACAGGUGGUGCAUGGUUGUCGUCAGCUCGUGUCGUGAGAUGUUGGGUUAAGUCCCGCAACGAGCGCAACCCUUAUGACUAGUUGCCAGCAUUUAGUUGGGCACUCUAGUAAGACUGCCGGUGACAAACCGGAGGAAGGUGGGGAUGACGUCAAAUCAUCAUGCCCCUUAUGACCUGGGCUACACACGUGCUACAAUGGAUGGUACAACGAGUUGCGAGACCGCGAGGUCAAGCUAAUCUCUUAAAGCCAUUCUCAGUUCGGACUGUAGGCUGCAACUCGCCUACACGAAGUCGGAAUCGCUAGUAAUCGCGGAUCAGCACGCCGCGGUGAAUACGUUUCCGGGCCUUGUACACACCGCCCGUCACACCAUGAGAGUUUGUAACACCCGAAGCCGGUGGCGUAACCCUUUUAGGGAGCGAGCCGUCUAAGGUGGGACAAAUGAUUAGGGUG